rnacentral:rRNA from 1 species
UCGAGAAUAAUUCACAAUGGGGGCAACCCUGAUGGUGCAACGCCGCGUGGAGGAUGAAGGUCUUCGGAUUGUAAACUCCUGUCAUCUGGGAGUAAGACCUGGGCAUGAAUAGUGCACAGGGUUGAUAGUACCAGAAGAGGAAGGGACGGCUAACUUCGUGCCAGCAGCCGCGGUAAUACGAAGGUCCCGAGCGUUGUUCGGAAUCACUGGGCGUAAAGGGAGCGUAGGCGGUAUGGUAAGUCAGAUGUGAAAUCCCGGGGCUCAACCCCGGAACUGCAUCCGAUACUGCCGUGCUGGAGGAUUGGAGAGGUAGCUGGAAUUCACGGUGUAGCAGUGAAAUGCGUAGAUAUCGUGAGGAAGACCAAUGGCGAAAGCAAGCUACUGGACAAUACCUGACGCU